rnacentral:rRNA from 1 species
UCCCAGUUCGGAUUGUAGUCUGCAACCCGACUACAGGAAGCUGGAAUCGCUAGUAAUCGCGGAUCAGAAUGCCGCGGUGAAUACGUUCCCGGGUCUUGUACACACCGCCCGUCACACCAUGGGAGUCGGAAAUGCCCGAAGUCUGUGACCUAACCGUAAGGAAGGAGCAGCCGAAGGCAGGUCGGAUGACUGGGGUGAAGUCGUAACAAGGUAUC